GGUCUUAUAUUCAUUUUAUGAUGUUAGAAUGCAAUUCUAUCGGAGUGGUAAUUAUCACUAAGGCUU
rnacentral:tRNA from 1 species